GUCUCCGACAGAGGAGCAAUUUGGCGGCAGGGAUUUAAAUCUCAAAUUGACACAGGCAGAGUGAAAGCCUGGAUUUUUUUCGAUCAGGGAAACAAAUGAGGCUGUGCCAGGUCUUGAGUGAGCUGAGCGAACCCUUGAGUGUUAAUGAGCACACACCUGAUGACAUCGCGAUGACACCCCCAGUGGGCUUUAAUUGGGGACAUACAGAUUAACAAUCACAGUGGAAGCCAAAGAGUUAAUUAGUCUCCACAGUGAGAGUAAUGGGAUAAAUGCGCAUCGAGGAGAAAGAGAGCGAGAGACAGAAGACAAUGGACACGAGGGAGUGAGAGAGGGAUUGUGUUUUCGUGACAGCUCGGUGUGGAGGACUGAAAAAGAUCAUUUGGUAUGAGUGAGUGCCAUCCCCAAUUACUCCUUAUUGCUUUUAGAGGACAGAGAGUAGGAGGCCGUAAAUGAAAUUCACGUGGCAUGAUGGCCGUUUUUAUAAGACCGCCGAAGUGAAGGUC